rnacentral:rRNA from 1 species
AUGGCGUCCGGCGGCAGCGGUGGCACGGACGGCCGUGGCGGCGCGUGGCCGACGAGCCUGGGCACGCCGGACACGGACGAGCUCAUCCGGCUCGGGCUGAUGGUGCUGCCGGGCUGCCGUCUGCCGCACAUCUUCCACAUCACCGCCGACGGGUACCCGACAAGGGGGCCCGGCGCGACGCCGGAAGAGCUCCGCGGGCACGAGGGCGGCCGCUGGAAUAUUGCCGGUCGUACAAGAUUUUGGACGGGCAAGGACUUCUGGAAGGUCGUUGCCCAGGCUCGUCGGGAUUCGGAGACGGGCGGCCCGUCGUCUGCCCCGCGCCGGCCCCACCGUCACCCUCCGGCGGCCAUGCCGUCCCCAAGCUCCUCCGGCCGUCCGGUGCCCACGCUCGCCGGGCCCGCCGCACCUCCCGCCGUCGAGAUCCCGCCGGAGCAGUUCGCGCUGCGCGAGGACGGCGACCCGAACGACUGCCCUGGCUACCUCAUCGCCCUAUGGGCGUCGCAGACAGAAGCGGCGGCCGCGGCAGAGGCCAGAGAGGCCGCCGAGCUGCAGGCGGCACUGGACGCCGCGGCGGCUAUGGCGGCGGCUGCAGAGGCCGCUGAGCUGCAGGCGGCACUGGAUAUGGCGGCGGCUACGGGUGCGGUGCAGGCACCGGCGCAGGCGGCUCCGGUGGAGGACGACGCCGUCGACUGGGACGACGCCGGGAAGAGCAGCAACGAUGACGACGGUGACGGCGGUGCGGGCGAGAUCGUGGACCUCGCCGCGUCCGACGACGACGAGUAG